AACGAACGCUGGCGGCGUGCCUAAUACAUGCAAGUCGAGCGAGAAAGUCUCUUCGGAGGCGAGUACAGCGGCGCACGGGUGAGUAACACGUGGGCAAUCUGCCCUCGAGUCUGGGAUAACCCGGGGAAACUCGGGCUAAUACCGGAUACGGCUGCGAGGUCUUCGGACCUUGUGGAGAAAGAUGGCCUCUUCUCGAAAGCCAUCUCUCGGGGAUGAGCCCGCGUCCUAUUAGCUAGUUGGUGAGGUAACGGCUCACCAAGGCAAAGAUGGGUGGCUGGACUGAGAGGAUGACCAGCCACACUGGAACUGAGACACGGUCCAGACGCCUACGGGAGGCAGCAGUAGGGAAUUUUGGGCAAUGGGCGAAAGCCUGACCCAGCAACGCCGCGUGUGGGAUGAAGGCCCUCGGGUCGUAAACCACUGUCAGGAGGAAAGAAAAGUCGGCCGGAUAAUACUCGGUCGACCUGACGGUACCUCCAAAGGAAGCACCGGCUAACUCCGUGCCAGCCGCCGCCGUAAGAC
rnacentral:rRNA from 1 species